CGGCGGCGGCGGCAGCGGCGCUACCCACCCUCCGGCACAACACCCACGGAACCAGCGAGCCACCGAGCCACGGGCCCCAGGGGCAGGUGCCCCCCAGAAACCAGCAAUCCUGCAACCAGUUGUGGAAUCCUGCAAUUAUUCAUAACAUUUGCUGAAAAUGUGCUUUAGAAAAGAUAAUCUUGCUAUAUAUUGCAAGGAGGUUAUACAGCUGGCAUUACAUAUAUGACAGAUGUGCAUAUUUGGAGCCUUAAAUAAAGAGAAGCAAAGGGACAACUGUGCAUAUUAUCUUGCAAGAGACAGCAACAGACACUCGCCAAAAAAUAAAGACAUAAAAGGACAAGAGAGACAGACGUAAGGUAGAAUAAAAAAAGAAAGAAAAAAGAAAGAAAAAGUAAAAAAGGAGGGAGAUCAAUAAAACGAUAUAACCUCAACUUUUCGCGAAUUAAAAAAUGCAAAUAUACCUUUACAUAUGCAUCAGUAUUAAAAAUAAUACACGCUGGAACCAACAGGAGCGGGAG